rnacentral:rRNA from 1 species
CACGUAGGGGGCGAGCGUUGUCCGGAAGUAUUGGGCGGAAAGCGCGUGUAGGCGGCCAGAUAAGUCCGGUGGGAAAUCUCGAGGCUCAACUUCGAGCUGUCGGUGGAAACUGUCUGGCUAGAGUCCGGAAGAGGAGAAUGGAAUUCCUGGUGUAGCGGUGAAAUGCGCAGAUAUCAGGAAGAACACCCGCGGCGAAGGCGGUUCUCUGGGACGGUACUGACGCUGAGACGCGAAAGCGUGGGGAGCGAACAGG